AUGGGGACGGAUGGACGGCGGUCAAGUCGCGGAAAGCCCGGCGCGAGGCCAUUAAGGCGAAGCAUGGCGCGCCCCUCCGCCAGGCGCCCGGGCCGGCGUUCCGCCAUUAAUGGCCGUGAUGGAAAGGAGGCCUUCUUAAGGCGCUUCGACGGGCUCUGCUUUCGGUGCCUCAGCUCUCGCCACCAUAGGAUAGACUGCCGCGACCCGCUGCACUGCAUUAUUUGCAAGCAGCCGGGACACUUCGGCCGCGAGUGCCCGCUCAAUCCCAAGCGCAAGGGGCACGCCGGCUGCCCGACCCGUCCUCCUCAGCGCGGUCCCGUUCACGAACGGCUGCGCUUCCCCUCGCGGUCUCCGCCGCCUCCGCCGCCCCCGCCACCUGGGCCGCGGUCGCCUGCCAUGGCCGCCAUGGACCGUGAGGCGUUCCACACCGACGCGUCGCGCCGCCCCAGGUCAAGCUUCAAGAUGGUGAUCAGCACUCCGGCCAUCGAGCAGCAGGAGUUCCUCCUCCGCAAGCACGCCGUGCUGCUCACGGCCUCAACAGCCCGUCAUGCGGCCAACCCCAUGUCGGUGGGCCGGGCCAUCGAGGAGUAG
rnacentral:rRNA from 1 species